rnacentral:tRNA from 1 species
GGGUCUGUCGUAUAAUGGAUUCAUUAUGUCGGUCUCCAGAACCGAAGACGGGGGUUCGAUUCCCUCCAGGCCCA